AUCCUACCAAAAAUCUGCUUGAGCUCUCCUGAGAAGAACUGAAGAUAGUACUUUCUAAUUGGCUUCAGGUGCAGAGUUUGGGUGCUGCUGGAUCUCUGUCUCCGGUAUCGCUGCGAUGGAGUGGUCACAACUACCAGCCCAGCCAUUUUGCCAUGCCCUGAUCUACUUCAGUUCUAUCGCUCAGUCUUAAACGAUAAACCCCU
rnacentral:lncRNA from 1 species